AGCUGGAAGGGAGUCCAGGAAGAUGAAGAAAGGGAAACAAGUUUUCCUUGCUUGCUUAUAGGGUCAAUGCAUCCUUAAAUUGUCCAUGAAAGAGCGCACAUUUAUCCAGAGAAGGCUGGGGCCCGGGUCAGAGGCUGACUGCCUGUGCCUGGGAUCUUAGCCAGCUGCUUGAGGUCAGAUGCACCAUCAGCAGGAGCAGCUUUGCCUGAAGUGAGAGGGGCAUCUUCUGAAUGAGAAACCAAGAUACAGAGAUAAUGAGAGUGCGCAUGAGCAGG